rnacentral:tRNA from 1 species
GGGGAUUUAGCUCAGAGGUAGAGCGCUUGCCUAGCAAGCGCAAGGCCCCCCCGGGUUCAGUCCCCA